ACAUAAUCAUAAUGAAAGAGUUUGAAAUACUGUGAUGGUUACCAAAAUGUGACCCAGAGACACGAAGCAAGCAUGUACUGUUGGAAAAACAGCACCUAGAGCGUUGCUUGAGGCGGGAUUGCCACAAACCUGCCAUUUGUAAGAAGGACGGUAUACGCAAAGCUCAAUAAAGCCAAGUGCAAUGACGUGAGCUGUGCUUGUGCCACACACCGAGUGGCUUGAAACAGCAGACCUGUAUUCUCUCACAGUCCUGGGGUUAGAAGUCCAAAAUCCAGGGGUCAGCAGGGACAUGCUGUGUCUGUGACUCUAGGAGAAUCCUCUGCGUCUUCUGGGUUCCUGCUUGUGGCCAGCAAUCUCUGUCACUCUCUGGCUGGUAACUGUGUAAUUCCAGUCCUGCCUGGGUUGCCAGAUGGCGUUCUCCCCAUGUGCUUCUCUGUCUCUCUGUUAUAGGGACACUAGUCAUAUCGGAAUAGAGGCCCAUCCUACUCUGGUGCGAUCUCAACUUUCAUUUAUUUGUUUAUUCGCUUGUUUCUUUUCUUUUCUUUUCUUUCUUUUUUUUGGAGAUGGAAUUUCAUUCUUGUUGCCCAGGCUGGAGUGCAGUGGUGCCAUCUCAGCUCACAGCAACCUCUGCCUCCCAAGUUCAAGCGAUUCUCCUGCCUCAGCCUCUCAAGUAUUUGGGACUACAGGGGCACGCCACCACACCUGCUAAUUUUGUAUUUUUGUAGAGACGGGGUUUCACCAUGUUGGCCAG
rnacentral:lncRNA from 1 species